GGAAUAUUGGACAAUGGGCGCAAGCCUGAUCCAGCCAUGCCGCGUGAGUGAUGAAGGCCCUAGGGUUGUAAAGCUCUUUUGUCCGGGACGAUAAUGACGGUACCGGAAGAAUAAGCCCCGGCUAACUUCGUGCCAGCAGCCGCGGUAAUACGAAGGGGGCUAGCGUUGCUCGGAAUCACUGGGCGUAAAGGGCGCGUAGGCGGACGUUUAAGUCAGGGGUGAAAUCCCGGGGCUCAACCUCGGAAUUGCCUUUGAUACUGGAUGUCUCGAGACCGGAAGAGGUAAGUGGAACUGCGAGUGUAGAGGUGAAAUUCGUAGAUAUUCGCAAGAACACCAGUGGCGAAGGCGGCUUACUGGUCCGGUUCUGACGCUGAGGCGCGAAAGCGUGGGGAGCAAACAGG
rnacentral:rRNA from 1 species